AGAACCAAAAGCAUCAGUCAGCUAAGCCUAAAAAGCCAUUUAAAUGGAGAUUCUCUAAGCUUACAGAGAAGGCUUAGUCUGUGUCUAGGAAACCAGCCCAUAGGAAAUAAACCUGCACACUGAACUAUGCUCCCAAAAUGAGCACAUUCGACUCACAUUGUCAGCCAUGCUUAUCUUAAAAAUAAAAAAAAAACACCAGGAGAGCUCUGUGCAUGCUAGGGUCCAUGAACUCAUAUCUGAAGUCUCCAAUAUCUGGUAUGACCAUUGGCUAUGUCUAAAUCUGUACAAAGAUCGCCACCUUCUGGACAAUAAUGGUCAUGUGAGUUAAGAAUCUGUCCUUCAUGGGAAAACCUUUGCACAUAUUUCCACAGUUAAUAACUGAAAUACUCAAUCUUGACAUAGCAGCUACAGAUAAUCUAUCCGACUGGACUGAGUAAAGGGUACAGAUGAUCUGUAAAAAUACAGUGUAAUGCUGGAGGACUAAACUAAAUGCCUCCAGCGCUGUCCUGUGGGUUGGUUUGUUUUCAUUCCAUCCAAUAUCCUUGUCUUUGAUUGGCUCUUCACCAAUAUCUUUAGUCUUCAUUUGUUGUUAGUUGAGUUGUAGAAGGCCUAAGUACAAAUUAACACUAGUGGUCAGUGUGUGGUGUGUUCUCCGGGGGUAUUUUCCUUAGUCGAUGAGUGUAGCAAAACAUUUUGCACCGUAGCAAAAAGCUUUACUCCAAAUGGAAACAAUUUUGGUCCGAAAACUACAUUAUCUAUUGGACAAAUUCAGGAAGGUCCCUCCCUGUUUCUGUCCGUUUAGUUAUGUUUGCUUACUCGUGAAUAUACCCAUGUUAAGGCAAUGAGAUAUUUCCUCCAACCAACGUUUGCUCACACAUAUCAAGAGGAUCAACUGAACUUUAUAUAUGGUUGCAAGAGAUUGCCUUUCUGUUGUGAGUCUCUCAUACACAAUCAAUCUUAAACUUCUAUUCUAAACUUUUAUAUAAAUGUAGAUUUUGUUUAAACUAUUUCAAAAAAUGUUCUGUCUAUAGGUAUUCAAUAAAGCUUUAUAAGUGUGGUGUGUUCAGGCGGUUUGAGUAUGCCGGGUUAAGACCAGGGUUGUGUUCAAUAGGGAAAACUGUAGCAAAACAUUUCAGGACGCUGUGCAGCCAAAAAUGAAAACUUAGGUACAUUAACCUGAAGAAAAUAAAUAAAAAGACCCUGGGCAGGCUAAGGGCAGUCACAUAGGGAGGUUAAGGGCAGUCACAUAGGGAGGCUAAGGGCAGUCACAUAGGGAGGUUAAGGGCAGUCACAUAGGGAGGUUAAGGGCAGUCACAUAGGGAGGUUAAGGGCAGUCACAUAGGGAGGUUAAGGGCAGUCACAUAGGGAGGUUAAGGGCAGUCACAUAGGGAGGUUAAGGGCAGUCACAUAGGGAGGUUAAGGGCAGUCACAUAGGGAGGUUAAGGGCAGUCACAUAGGGAGGUUAAGGGCAGUCACAUAGGGAGGUUAAGGGCAGUCACAUAGGGAGGUUAAGGGCAGUCACACAGGGAGGUUAAGGGCAGUCACACAGGGAGGUUAAGGGCAGUCACACAGGGAGGCUAAGGGCAGUCACACAGGGAGGCUAAAGGCAGUCACACGGGGAGGUUAAGGGCAGUCACACAGGGAGGUUAAGGGCAGUCACAUAGGGAGGUUAAGGGCAGUCACAUAGGGAGGUUAAGGGCAGUCACAUAGGGAGGUUAAGGGCAGUCACAUAGGGAGGUUAAGGGCAGUCACAUAGGGAGGUUAAGGGCAGUCACAUAGGGAGGUUAAGGGCAGUCACAUAGGGAGGUUAAGGGCAGUCACAUAGGGAGGUUAAGGGCAGUCACAUAGGGAGGUUAAGGGCAGUCACAUAGGGAGGUUAAGGGCAGUCACAUAGGGAGGUUAAGGGCAGUAGUAAAACCAAAGAUGGACGAAUAUUACAUCUCCAGUCUUUUCAGCGGCUAGUACAGUGCCUAUAGAGUUGCGUUCCAACGUGGGAUUGAAAUAGAUGUUAUUGUAAUUUUGUCAUUGAUCUAAAAUACUCCAUAAUGUCAAAGUGAAAAGAAAAUUCCACAAAUUAACACAAAUGUAAUCAUUUCUAAUUGUAUAAAGACAAUUAUUUGGUUGCAAUUUUGUAA